UGGGGAAUUUUGCACAAUGGGCGCAAGCCUGAUGCAGCGACGCCGCGUGAGGGAUGAAGGCCUUCGGGUUGUAAACCUUUUUCGCUCAUGGUCAAGCCGCAGCUUUGGGUUGUGGUGAGGGUAGUGGGAAAAGAAGCGCCGGCUAACUACGUGCCAGCAGCCGCGGUAAUACGUAGGGCGCGAGCGUUGUCCGGAAUUAUUGGGCGUAAAGGGCUUGUAGGCGGUUGGCCGCGUCUGCCGUGAAAUCCUCUGGCUUAACUGGGGGCGUGCGGUGGGUACGGGUUGACUUGAGUGCGGUAGGGGAGACUGGAAUUCCUGGUGUAGCGGUGGAAUGCGCAGAUAUCAGGAGGAACACCGGUGGCGAAGGCGGGUCUCUGGGCCGUUACUGACGCUGAGGAGCGAAAGCGUGGGGAGCGAACAGG
rnacentral:rRNA from 1 species